rnacentral:rRNA from 1 species
GACCUCGGAUCAGGUAGGGAUACCCGCUGAACUUAAGCAUAUCAAUAAGCGGAGGAAAAGAAACCAACAGGGAUUGCCUCAGUAACGGCGAGUGAAGCGGCAACAGCUCAAAUUUGAAAUCUGGCCUUAAGCGGGGUCCGAAUUGUAAUUUGCAGAGGGCGUUUCGGGCGACGCGCCGGUCUAAGUCCCUUGGAACGGGGCGUCAUAGAGGGUGAGAAUCCCGUAUGUGACCGGCGACCGAGCCUGUGUGAAACCCCUUCGACGAGUCGAGUUGUUUGGGAAUGCAGCUCAAAGCGGGUGGUAAAUUUCAUCUAAAGCUAAAUACCGGCCAGAGACCGAUAGCGCACAAGUAGAGUGAUCGAAAGAUGAAAAGCACUUUGGAAAGAGAGUCAAAAAGUACGUGAAAUUGUUGAAAGGGAAGCGCUUGCAACCAGACCUGCCCGCGGGUGAUCAGCCGUCCUUCGGGGCGGUGCACUCACCCGCGAUCAGGCCAGCAUCGGUUCGGGCGGUCGGAUAAAGGCCUUGGGAACGUGGCUCCCCUCGGGGAGCGUUAUAGCCCAGGGUGCAAUGCGGCCCGCCCGGACCGAGGACCGCGCUUCGGCUAGGAUGCUGGCGUAAUGGUUGUAAGCGGCCCGUCUUGAAACACGGACCAAGGAGUCGACCAACCGUGCGAGUGUUUGGGCGUCAAACCCACACGCGCAAUGAAAGUGAACGGAGGUGGGAACCCCUCGCGGGGCGCACCAUCGACCGAUCCAGAUGUCUUCGGAUGGAUUUGAGUACGAGCAUGGCUGGUCGGACCCGAAAGAUGGUGAACUAUGCCUGGAUAGGGUGAAGCCAGAGGAAACUCUGGUGGAGGCUCGCAGCGGUUCUGACGUGCAAAUCGAUCGUCAAAUUUGGGCAUAGGGGCGAAAGACUAAUCGAACCAUCUAGUAGCUGGUUCCAGCCGAAGUUC